AUUGAACGUCUGGCGGCAGGCCUAACACAUGCAAGUCGAGCGGUAGCACAGAGAGCUUGCUCUCGGGUGACGAGCGGCGGACGGGUGAGUAAUGUCUGGGAAACUGCCUGAUGGAGGGGGAUAACUACUGGAAACGGUAGCUAAUACCGCAUAACGUCGCAAGACCAAAGUGGGGGACCUUCGGGCCUCAUGCCAUCAGAUGUGCCCAGAUGGGAUUAGCUAGUAGGUGGGGUAAUGGCUCACCUAGGCGACGAUCCCUAGCUGGUCUGAGAGGAUGACCAGCCACACUGGAACUGAGACACGGUCCAGACUCCUACGGGAGGCAGCAGUGGGGAAUAUUGCACAAUGGGCGCAAGCCUGAUGCAGCCAUGCCGCGUGUGUGAAGAAGGCCUUCGGGUUGUAAAGCACUUUCAGCGGGGAGGAAGGCGGUGAGGUUAAUAACCUCAUCGAUUGACGUUACCCGCAGAAGAAGCACCGGCUAACUCCGUGCCAGCAGCCGCGGUAAUACGGAGGGUGCAAGCGUUAAUCGGAAUUACUGGGCGUAAAGCGCACGCAGGCGGUCUGUCAAGUCGGAUGUGAAAUCCCCGGGCUCAACCCGGGAACUGCAUUCGAAACUGGCAGGCUAGAGUCUUGUAGAGGGGGGUAGAAUUCCAGGUGUAGCGGUGAAAUGCGUAGAGAUCUGGAGGAAUACCGGUGGCGAAGGCGGCCCCCUGGACAAAGACUGACGCUCAGGUGCGAAAGCGUGGGGAGCAAACAGGAUUAGAUACCCUGGUAGUCCACGCCGUAAACGAUGUCGAUUUGGAGGUUGUGCCCUUGAGGCGUGGCUUCCGGAGCUAACGCGUUAAAUCGACCGCCUGGGGAGUACGGCCGCAAGGUUAAAACUCAAAUGAAUUGACGGGGGCCCGCACAAGCGGUGGAGCAUGUGGUUUAAUUCGAUGCAACGCGAAGAACCUUACCUGGUCUUGACAUCCACAGAACUUUCCAGAGAUGGAUUGGUGCCUUCGGGAACUGUGAGACAGGUGCUGCAUGGCUGUCGCCAGCUCGUGUUGUGAAAUGUUGGGUUAAGUCCCGCAACGAGCGCAACCCUUAUCCUUUGUUGCCAGCGGUCCGGCCGGGAACUCAAAGGAGACUGCCAGUGAUAAACUGGAGGAAGGUGGGGAUGACGUCAAGUCAUCAUGGCCCUUACGACCAGGGCUACACACGUGCUACAAUGGCAUAUACAAAGAGAAGCGACCUCGCGAGAGCAAGCGGACCUCAUAAAGUAUGUCGUAGUCCGGAUUGGAGUCUGCAACUCGACUCCAUGAAGUCGGAAUCGCUAGUAAUCGUAGAUCAGAAUGCUACGGUGAAUACGUUCCCGGGCCU
rnacentral:rRNA from 1 species